GAGCUUUGUUUACAAGAUAUAAUACAUAGAGACGUAAUCUUAUAACAUCCAAGUGAACUUCAUCCCUAAAGCAACCACUCUGGGAGAUCACAUACACAAAUAACAAUCCUACCAUGGCUGAUAACAAGGAAUCCCUCUGUGGAAACAGAUGUCUAAGCCUGGGGCAUUUUGAACACCCUCAAGGAUGGUAAGCCUUAUCCUUUAAUGCUGUAGUUCAUUCUCAUAACAAUUCAGUCAUGCAUGAUCAAACCUUGUGAGCCAGGUAGUAUGAUCAAGGUGGAUACUAUAGAUUUUCAACAACCAAGAGAGAGACCACAGAAUGAUGACAAAUUUUGCAUGGUUCAUACCCUGGUUCCAAAAGUAACUGCAGAAAAACAAAAGUAUUCUGACCAAAAGCAGCAUGAUUGGACUAAUAUCUACUAUUUAUUGGACAAUUUGCAAAGCACUGUGCAACACAUCACAUACAUUAUCUUAACUGUGUCUCAUGGAAGCCCUAUGAGGUAGGUAUUGCAUCCACAUCUUACAGAGAAUACAACAGUUUCAGAAAAAUAAGCUGCUUUUCUAUGAUCACACUGCUAGAGAGAAGCCAAACCAUACUAUGAUCUUAAUCUAUCUCACACCCAGGAUGCCCUGAUAGGGAUAAAAGUUAUCUCCAUAUAUGAGAGAUCCAUGUUUUCAAAGAGACGCAGAAUCACUUUAUUUUAUAAUCACAUAUAGCAUUAGUGUCAUCACUGUCUGAAAAAAGGUGUCUCUAACUAAUUCUUCCAGGUUACUGUUUCUGCUAAAGUGUCUUCAGAAAUGGCAUUACCAGUGAAGCUGCCCAAAAAGCCUUCUGAAACAAAACACCCACUGAAGUGGGACUUUAUCUAUAUUUAGUGGAAAUUACACUUUUAGGACUUUAGCUUAUAGCUAUACCCCGCCCAGAUAUGCAUAAUAACAUUAUGUUCAAGGUUAUCACUGUAAAAGCAAAAGAAAGGAAAUAACCUAAAUGUUCAUUAGGAGCAAAGUAAAUUAAUUAUGGUAUAUCCAUUCAAUAGAACCUUAUGUAGCCAAAAAAGGAAAGAGGUUCUUUGUUCCUUACAUACUGAUAUGGAAUGAUCUCCAUUUUAAAAAAAGGCAAAGGGCAAACAUUGUAUAUAGCUUGUUAUCUGUAUAAACCCCCAUGCAACGUGUGUUUGUUUAGGCACAGAAUCUUUCUCAGAGUAUACAGGAAACUGGGGACAGCACUGGAGGACGGGGAGGGGGAGGGCCCUUAAAACACUUUUGUAUCUUGACCUGGAGGAAAAAGUUAAUUUAAACCUUUUUUUCCAAUUAAAAAAAUAUGGACUGAUUCUAUGUUUGACAAAUACAAGGGUAAUUUCUGACUGCAGAAAAAAACAAAAAAGAAAGUUUUCUUAUAAGAAUCACUCUAAAGUUAUAAUGUACAUACAUUUCUUUAAAUGUGAAAAGGCAUAACAUUUCCUUUAUAGACAACUUCUCAUGUAUCCACCAUGUAAUAUCAAAUGCACCUGUAAUCCCUUAAAACAAGUAUGAUUCUUUUGAGGGAAGAGAGCCAGAUGAAAUGCAUCAUUAUGGAAAAACAUGCAUACUAGACUAUGACUUCUGAGGACAAAAGCCAUCAUUUUAUGUAUAUUUAAAUUCCCCAGUUCCUGACAGGGUUCUCAGAAUAUAGUUUCUCGGUUAAUGCAUAGCAAAACGAUUUACUGGUUAAAUUAGCAACUAUGGAGCUGCCUGACAACAGUAUAAAAAAAUAGAUAAUUCACUAGAAACUGGCUUCUAGAUUUUAAUUUUAAUUACUUUGAAACAACAUAAUUUAGUACCAAAAGUUUAAACACCCAUUAUACUUGCUAAACUGUGAAAUCAGCAUCAUUUAUAUCUAAUCAGCUAUAUAAAACUCAUCAAUUUCUCUUUUGAAAACAGGUAGCAGAGAUCCAAAGAAUAAGGGGAGACUAAUUAAAGGUCAUGUUUACUAAUCUAGCACCAUAAUUCCAGUCUUAGGACCUCCCAAGAGGCUGGAAGGAGGAAGGGCAGAGGUGAGGAUGCUGGAAAAGUAGGGUAGUUCUUAACUGCGGCUCCACUUGUGCUCUAAGGCAACACAGGGUCCAGCAAAGAAGAAACUCGCUGAGGCUGGAGAUGAAAACAAAAGCUUUUGGUUGAGAUAGCAAAGGAGGUUUCUUCUUGGCAUCCAAGUCCUUUUUAAUAUCUUCAAGUUUUUUAGCCAGGUUUGGUAUCUUUAAAGAGAAAAAAGAUUAUCAUAAUUUUGCAUCUAUCUAAUCAAUACUCUUUUACUUUUCUUCCUUCCAAGAUGAAUGGUUGUACAACUUCUUAUUUUCCUCUGAAAGAGGCCUGCUUAAUAGUGAUAUUUC
rnacentral:lncRNA from 1 species